rnacentral:rRNA from 1 species
GACGAACGCUGGCGGCGUGCUUAACACAUGCAAGUCGAACGGAAAGGCCCUGCUUUUGUGGGGUGCUCGAGUGGCGAACGGGUGAGUAACACGUGAGUAACCUGCCCUUGACUUUGGGAUAACUUCAGGAAACUGGGGCUAAUACCGGAUAGGAGCUCCUGCUGCAUGGUGGGGGUUGGAAAGUUUCGGCGGUUGGGGAUGGACUCGCGGCUUAUCAGCUUGUUGGUGGGGUAGUGGCUUACCAAGGCUUUGACGGGUAGCCGGCCUGAGAGGGUGACCGGCCACAUUGGGACAGGGAUACGGCCCAGAGUCCUACGGGAGGCAGGAGUGGGGAAUAUUGCACAAUGGGCGGAAGCCUGAUGCAGCAACGCCGCGUGCGGGAGGACGGCCUUCGGGUAGUAAACAGCUUUCGCCUGUGACGAAGCGUGAGUGACGGUAUGGGUAAAGAAGCACCGGCUAACUACGUG